CAGUAGCCGCGGUAACACGAAGGGUGCAAGCGUUACUCGGAAUUACUGGGCGUAAAGCGUGCGUAGGUGGUGGUUUAAGUCCGUUGUGAAAGCCCUGGGCUCAACCUGGGAAUUGCAGUGGAUACUGGAUCACUAGAGUGUGGUAGAGGAUAGUGGAAUUUCCGGUGUAGCAGUGAAAUGCGUAGAGAUCGGAAGGAACAUCUGUGGCGAAGGCGACUAUCUGGGCCAACACUGACACUGAGGCACGAAAGCGUGGGGAGCAAACAGGAUUAGAUACCCCGGUAGUCCCUGUCUCUUAUAC
rnacentral:rRNA from 1 species